rnacentral:rRNA from 1 species
UGCGUAGGUUGAUAGGUAAGUCAGUGGUGAAAUACUCCGACUCAAUCGGAGAACUGCCGUUGAUACUAUCUAUCUUGAAUACGGUGGAGGCGGGCGGAAUGCGUCAUGUAGUGGUGAAAUACUUAGAUAUGACGCAGAACACCUAUUGCGAAGGCAGCUCGCUACACCGGCAUUGACACUGAGGCACGAAAGCGUGGGGAUCAAACA